UCGAUCCUUUGAUUUACUUACUAGUCUAGAGUCAAUAACUGGACCUUGUUGGAAAGAAACAAUGAAAAAAAAUGAUUAUAUGAGCCUGCUGUUGAACAUGUAAUCUUUCUUGUUUGGCAAGUAGAUGUGUAAAAUGUAAAUGCAUUAUGACAGUUCAAAAAGGAUAGGAUGGAAGAGAGGAGAAUCUAAGCCUAAUGACAGUGAGGAAAAAGGAGACUCUGGAAGAAAUCAUCUGGAGAGUUUUUGCAGUUGAAAACCAUUACCACUGUUUGCCUCCAAGCCUGAUAUGCUCCGAGAAGAAAGGAAUAUAUGUAAACAAGAAUAAGAAAGCUACCUUUUUAUUCUGGCAUCAGCCACAACAACAGUUUUGAGAAUAUCUGUGAUGUGUUAAAGAGUUUGCAGAAGCAUGCCAUGUGCAGGAAUAUUUCAGGAUUUCAGCUUCACAAACACUCCUGCUGUUACUAUGUACAGAGUUCUGCAUGGGAGAUGUGAGGAAGAAAACAAAAUGGCAUCUUUCAUAUGCAGGAGGAAUGUUAAUGAGGUAGAGAAAAGAGAAGGCAUCAUUAUAGUUUCACUCCAUGGAAACAAAAUUUAGAACCACCACCUGAAGAUAAAAAGAUCCUGGAUCCUUGUCAAUAUUCAGCACAAUAAGGUCUAAUGAUGUUUUCUGUAGCUUACAACUAUGUCUGACACACAGUAUACCUGCGAACAGGACAGGUUGCUUGUUUCUCUUCAUCUGAUCCAGAUCCUACCUGAGUUCUUGCAGAGGAAGUGAACAGAAGUUAAUACUUUUAAAAGUAUCAGUCCAGAGUGCUUUCCCCUGAAUUCUGCAUGGCUCCAAGAGACCAUUCUCCAAAGAAUUA